UUGAUCAAUGAAUGCAAA
rnacentral:miRNA from 1 species